CUACAGUGAUGCUUUUAGUCAGCAGCAGUUCACCUAGGGAGUGUUGAUACUUUGGGUCUGAGUGG
rnacentral:snoRNA from 1 species